UACGAAGGGGGCUAGCGUUGCUCGGAAUCACUGGGCGUAAAGCGCACGUAGGCGGAUUGCUAAGUCAGGGGUGAAAUCCUGGAGCUCAACUCCAGAACUGCCUUUGAUACUGGCGGUCUCGAGUCCGGGAGAGGUGAGUGGAACUGCGAGUGUAGAGGUGAAAUUCGUAGAUAUUCGCAAGAACACCAGUGGCGAAGGCGGCUCACUGGCCCGGUACUGACGCUGAGGUGCGAAAGCGUGGGAGCAAACAGG
rnacentral:rRNA from 1 species